UACGAAGGGGCUAGGCGUUGCUCGGAAUCACUGGGCGUAAAGCGCACGUAGGCGGAUUGUUAAGUCAGGGGUGAAAUCCUGGAGCUCAACUCCAGAACUGCCUUUGAUACUGGCGAUCUUGAGUCCGGGAGAGGUGAGUGGAACUGCGAGUGUAGAGGUGAAAUUCGUAGAUAUUCGCAAGAACACCAGUGGCGAAGGCGGCUCACUGGCCCGGUACUGACGCUGAGGUGCGAAAGCGUGGGGAGCAAACAGG
rnacentral:rRNA from 1 species